rnacentral:snoRNA from 1 species
AUGAAGUCAUUUAUAUCACCAUCAGAAAUCCUUGUGGCUUUCUUUUUUCUAUGUACUAUUUAAAAAUGAGCUUUUCAGUGGCUGCAAACAGCAGCCUCCUCGGUAGUGUAUGCAGCCUGUUGCCUGUAUGGGUUGCCCUAAGGGACCUUGGAGACAGCC